AUUUUUCUUCCACGGUACUUGCACAGAUUCUGGAGAAAACUGUUGAGAGACAGAGAGAAGAGUUGAAGAAAGAAAAGGAUGAACAUCAGAAUGAGAAAACAAAACGUAUCAAGUGUGAACGGACUAUUAUGGAGGCAGUCAGGAAAACUGAAAAGGGAAAAGCAACCGUUUUAAGUGAGCUUGAGAAAUACCAACUGGCUUUGAAGCGUAUCUCAGAAGAACUAGAAAAGCUCAAACAUGCAGAGGGCAAUCUUCCUCAGGGUACCUCAGUGGUUCAGCUUCUUUCUGGCACCAUCUCUGAUGAUCAUGCUUCCCCGCAUCUUUCUGCUACAGAGGAUUUUUAGAGAGCAGCACGUUCAAUUCUAAGUGAGCUUGGAAGUGGCCCCAGUUCUGGAGAUGUUCCUUAAGUAGACAGUUCUGCUGCCGUCUUAACAGGCACAGCAGUUCCGGAUCGGGGUCCUGUUACUACAUCCUCAACAGUACAUGAAACAAGUCAGCAUCAACCAGCUAAAGCAUCUGAAGAGAGGAGAUCUAUUGUACCUAAAACCAAUACUGAAACUCGUAAAACGGGGAGGAAGCUUGUCCGCCCACGUAUUGUCAAAGCUGAAGAGCGGCAAGGUGAUGUGGAGAUGACAGAAGCUACGUCACAUGAUGUUGAUGCUCAAGGGACUCAACAAUCAGCUUGCGAACGUCAGGCUUCUGCCACAACUGAGUUGAGUGAGGAUUUACCAGUUCCUGGGGAGACCAGCACGGAUGUGGUUGCAUCUGCUCUU